rnacentral:rRNA from 1 species
AAUUAGUUUUUUAAUUGAACACAAGAAUGAACGGAGAUAUUUAAGAAGUAAUUUUACUAAAACCUUAUAACUUUUAUUAUUGUGAAAAGACAUUAAUUAAAUUUUAAGACGAUAAGACCCUAUGAAGCUGAUAGCACUUCAAACUAAUAAACUAAUGCUAAUUAUUUGGGAGAAAGAAAAAUACUUUUAUUUUAAACCAGACAAAUACAGAUCUUUUAUGAAAAUUUAAAAAAUAGUUACUCUAGGGAUAACAGCACAAUUUUUAUGAGAGACCCUAUCGAAAUAAAAGC